rnacentral:rRNA from 1 species
UACAGGGGGGGCAAGCGUUGUUCGGAAUCACUGGGCUUAAAGGGCGCGUAGGCGGGUGUGCAAGUCUGUGGUGAAAGCCUCCAGCUUAACUGGAGAAGUGCCAUGGAUACUGCACAUCUUGAGGAGGGUAGGGGCAUCUGGAACGGUCGGUGGAGCGGUGAAAUGCGUUGAUAUCGACCGGAACUCCGGUGGCGAAGGCGAGGUGCUGGACCCUUUCUGACGCUGAGGCGCGAAAGCCAGGGGAGCAAACGGG